rnacentral:rRNA from 1 species
CCUACGGGAGGCAGCAGUGAGGAAUAUUGGUCAAUGGGCGCGAGCCUGAACCAGCCAAGUCGCGUGAGGGAAGACGGUCCUAUGGAUUGUAAACCUCUUUUGUCGGGGAGCAAAAGACGCCACGCGUGGCGUUCCGAGAGUACCCGAAGAAAAAGCAUCGGCUAACUCCGUGCCAGCAGCCGCGGGAAUACGGAGGAUGCGAGCGUUAUCCGGAUUUAUUGGGUUUAAAGGGUGCGCAGGCGGAAGAUCAAGUCAGCGGUAACAUUGAGAGGCUCAACCUCGUCGAGCCGUUGAAACUGGU